rnacentral:rRNA from 1 species
UACGGAGGAUGCAAGCGUUAUCCGGAAUGAUUGGGCGUAAAGCGCACGCAGGUGGCUGAGUCAGUCGAUUGUGAAAGCCCUGGGCUUAACCUGGGAAUUGCAGUCGAUACUACUCAGCUAGAGUAUGGGAGAGGUGAGUGGAAUUCCCAGUGUAGCGGUGAAAUGCGUAGAUAUUGGGAGGAACACCAGUGGCGAAGGCGGCUCACUGGACCGGUACUGACGCUGAUGCGCGAAAGCGUGGGGAGCAAACGGG